AUCUCUGUCAUUUUCAAGAAGGCAAACCGUGAUACAGAGAUGUGACUACCAUUUGUCAUCGAGCAACCUUGUUGCAAUCAGUCACCUGCUCCUUUUGAGUGAUAUAUGUAAUGAAAGUAAACAAGCUCAUAGUUUCACAUUAAAGUCGCCAUGGCUCCUCGAACUCCAAGACUAGUUAUCCCCAUAGACCUAAAGAAAAAGCCAUGGGAACAAAAGUUACCACUCCACAACCGUUGGCACCCAGAGAUACCUCCUGUAACAGAGAUUAGAACAGGGGAGAUGUUCCGAAUUGAGAUGGUUGAUUGGACAGCAAGGGCUAUCCAAGAUAAUAACUCUGCAAUUGAUGUAAAAACCAUUGAUCUAUCCACUGUCCAUUAUCUCAGUGGGCCAAUAAGAGUCGUAGACACAGAUGGAAAUCCCGCUCAACCAGGUGACCUUCUUGCCGUUGAAAUAUGCAACUUGGGGCCUCUCCCUGGUGAUGAAUGGGGUUUUACAGCAAUAUUUGACCGAGAGAACGGUGGAGGAUUUCUAACAGACCAUUUUCCCUGUGCAACUAAAGCCAUUUGGUAUUUCGAAGGCAUAUAUGCCUACUCACCUCAUAUACCAGGUGUAAGAUUUCCUGGUUUAGUUCAUCCUGGAAUAAUUGGAACAGCGCCUUCAAAAGAACUACUCAAUAUCUGGAAUGAGAGGGAAAGAAAGCUUGAAGAAACUGGACCCCAAUCUAUCAAAUUAUGUGAGGUCUUGCAUUCAAGACCAUUGGCUAACCUACCUUCACCAAAAGGGUGCAUUCUUGGCAAGAUUCCAGACGGAACUCCAGAGUGGAAUAGAAUUGCCAAUGAAGCUGCACGAACAGUACCUGGACGUGAAAAUGGAGGAAAUUGUGACAUCAAAAAUCUCAGCAGAGGUUCAAAAAUAUACCUUCCAGUAUUUGUGGAAGGAGCAAACCUCAGUACUGGUGAUAUGCAUUUUUCUCAAGGUGAUGGUGAAGUAUCAUUUUGUGGGGCAAUUGAGAUGAGUGGCUUCCUAGAGCUCAAGUGUGAAAUUAUAAGAGACGGAAUGAGAGAAUAUCUCACUCCAAUGGGACCCACACCUCUACAUGUAAACCCAAUAUUUGAGAUAGGGCCCAUGGAGCCAAGAUUCUCAGAGUGGUUGGUGUUUGAGGGCAUCAGUGUAGAUGAAAGUGGACAACAGCACUAUCUUGAUGCCAGUGUUGCAUACAAGCGUGCAGUACUAAAUGCAAUUGACUACCUCUCAAAAUUUGGCUACACAAAGGAACAGUUGGUGCUAUCAGGUGUAUCUUCUACUUUCGUGCUGUCCCUGUGAAGGAAGGAUUUCAGGAAUCGUUGAUGCCCCCAAUGCUGUUGCCACCCUUGCCAUUCCAACUGCUAUUUUUGACCAGGAUAUUCGCCCAAAGGUCCAUAAAGUGCCUCUUGGGCCAAGACUUGUGAGGAAUCCAGGAAUUCCGCAAUGUACUUAUGAUGGCAGCCUGCCAAUCACCAAAAACCCCUCGCUUCAUUAACUACAAGGGAGCAGCUGCAACAUGGAUGCUCGUUCUUGAGCAGGUGAUGUGCAUGUACAGCUACUGCAGGAAGAUACAACCAAGUUGAACGAAGCAUACCUGAGAUGUACAAAGCGUAACUAGACCUUCUAAACAUCUAAAUAUGUAGACAUGUUCCUCUUAAAUGUAAUAGCUCGGUAUUACCAGUGAGACCAUAAGUAGUUUUUGAAUCGUAAAAUGGAAAACUUUAUACUAGAACUAAUCAUACUAACGUUGCAGCCUUUAGUAAA